CGGAAACUUAAAUACAAUGGGUAUGUUUCGACUCAAUAUUCUAAACGAGCAUAAAAAACCAAGGGGCUUUGCCACCUUAAAUUAUUUUGUUUAUUUUUCUUCCGAAGACCAGGGCCGAUGUAAAGUAUUUCUGGGAGCUGAGUUAGUUCUCAAGCACAAUAUUGCUUCAGGAGAGUUGAAAUUACUUCAAAACUACUGCAAAUGAUCUCAUCUUACAUUUGGAUUUACAUUUGAGGUAAUUCUUUGUCGUCCAACCCCUUUUGCAGGCCCUUCAAAUUAUUUUGUGUUCAAGGGGACCCUAGGUUAAAAAGUUAACGUAAACCCUAUACCUUGUUGCAUAUCACUCGAAAGCUCUUUUUCAGAGCUAUUAAAAAAUGUUACACUCAGUUUUCUGCUUGAAGUAAUAUUCAAAUUAAUGGCAGUUCUUUUCAAGCUCGCCGGACAUGCUAUUUUGAGAGCUUAUCCACUAUUAACACGAAAAUAAUUGCUUGAAGGUACAAUUCCUAAAAAUAUGAAAAACGUGUCUUCCAAAUUCAUGCCGACUAAAGAAUAGUUUACUGCUCUAGUCCAAACAUAAACAAAAUGGCGACUGAAUAACUGAAAUUGAAGGUGGUUCAGACCACCUUCUUCAACUUGAGAACACCGUACAUGGGACCAAAACCAUUCCUAAUUAACAGCUUCAAUGAACUUUUGGAAAAUUUACCUUUAAACAAAUAUUUUGGCGCUAACGGUGGAUAAUCUAUCAAAUUAGCAUGUCCGGUGAGGUUUAAAACAGCCGCCAUUUUAAUUUUACUUUGAGCAGAAAACUUAGUGUAACAUUUUUUUCAAAAAUGUUAUAUUUUUGAAUAGCUCUUGAAAAGAUCUUUUGAGUGAUAUGCAACAAGAUAUAGGGUCCAUUUAACUUUUUAACCUAUGGUCCCUUUGAACACAAAAUAUUUUGAGGGGCCACGAAAAGGGGUCGGACGGCCAAAAAUUACAUCAAGUGUGAAACAAAAUGUAAGAUGAGAUCAUUUACAGCAGUUUUGAAGUAAUUUCAACCCUCCUGAGGCAAUAUUGUGCUUGAGAAAGGGCUGCCAACUCAGCCCCCCAAAAUGCUUUAAAUCGGCCCUGGUCUUCGGAAGAAAAAUAAAUAAAACAAACCAAGGUGGCAAAGUUCCUUAUUUUUUUAUGCUUUUUUAGAAUAUCGAGUCAAAACAUACUCAUUAUAUUUAGGUUUCCAGAGAUCUGACACAUGGCCCCCUGUAUACCCCCCAAGGGGGGGCCCAGGGUCGAUGAAAAUAUUUUCCAGAAGUGCUUUGGGGCUGUUGAUGGGGAAUGGUGUUGGUCCCGUUGUUCUACGUUAAGCGGUUCUCGAGAUAAAGAUAGUGGCUGGGUGGUCUCGAACACCCUGUAUAUAUAUUUUAAAAAAUCUCCGAAGGACAGGGACAAUUUAAAGAAGUUUUGGCCGGCCGACCCCUUUUGGCGGCCCCUCA
rnacentral:lncRNA from 1 species